rnacentral:rRNA from 1 species
GUGUUCGGCUAUCACUUUAGGAUUGGACCCGCGGUGCAUUAGUUAGUUGGUGUGGUAAAAGGCUCACCAAGACCGUGAUGCAUAGCCGACCUGAGAGGGUAAUCGGCCACACUGGGACUGAGACACGGCCCAGACUCCUACGGAGGCAGCAGUAGGGAAUCUUCCACAAUGGACGAAAGUCUGAUGGAGCAACGCCGCGUGAGUGAAGAAGGUUUUCGGAUCGUAAAACUCUGUUGUUGGAGAAGAAUGUAUCUGAUAGUAACUGAUCAGGUAGUGACGGUAUCCAACCAGAAAGCCACGGCUAACUACGUG